UUGGUUUGAAAUACUUUUGCCUCUCUGGUUGGACUGUUUGAAUUGUAAGACUGUGUUGUACUCUUCCAGGCUUGGGAAGGAAGAGCAUAUGAUUACUGCAUGGACAAUCUACAGAACAUGGGUUUUCCAGUUGACGGGGUUGCAUUUGACCCAGACUUGGUCAUUAGAGGUCUUGUCAUUGACAAAGAAAACGGUAACCUGGUUAAGGCUGAUAGAUUUGGUUAUGUGAAGAGAGCCAUGCAUGGGACAAAAAUGCUAUCAACUCGAGCUGUCAGUGAAAUGUAUGGGAGGGAACUUGUG